rnacentral:rRNA from 1 species
GACGUAGGGCGCGAGCGUUGUCCGGAUUUAUUGGGCGUAAAGAGCUCGUAGGCGGCUUGUCGCGUCGUCCGUGAAAACCUGGGGCUCAACCCCAGGCUUGCGGUCGAUACGGGCAGGCUCGAGUUCGGUAGGGGAGACUGGAAUUCCUGGUGUAGCGGUGAAAUGCGCAGAUAUCUGGAGGAACACCGGUGGCGAAGGCGGCAUCCUGGACCGACACUGACACUGAGGAGCAAAAGCCAGGGGAGCAAACGGG